CCAGUCUGUGUCAGCUCAAGAUGAUUAGGAAAUACAAAUUUUAAAAAGGAAACUGUAGUAUAUUAAAAUGAUUUUUCGAUACGAAUUCCUACAUACAGGAUAUUUCAUUAUAAAUAUGCAGUUCAAAAGGUAACUACAACAUUAAAAUAAAGUUCAGUCCCACAAGAUAUGAGAAGAUGCCAUAUUCAUGAUGGAUCUUUCCCUCUCAGUUAAACACCCUUCACAGACAUACCCAAAGAUGUAUCUCCCAUGUGACUCCAAAUCCAAUAAAGUUGACAUUGAGGAUUGACUA